UACGUAGGGUGCAAGCGUUAUCCGGAAUCACUGGGCGUAAAGCGUGCGUAGGUGGUUUGUUAAGUGAGAUGUUAAAUCGUGUGGCUCAACCAUAUCGAUGCAUCUCAUACUGGCAGACUAGAGGACGGCAGAGGCAAGUGGAAUUGGUAGUGUAGCAGUGAAAUGCGUAGAUAUUACCAGGAACACCGAUGGCGAAGGCAGCUCGCUGGGACGGUACUGACGCUGAGGCGCGAAAGCGUGGGGAGCAAACAGG
rnacentral:rRNA from 1 species